UCCCUGGUGGCUCAGACGGUAAAGCAUCUGCCCGCAAUGUAGGAGACCGAGGUUCGAUUCCUGGGUUGGGAA
rnacentral:tRNA from 1 species